rnacentral:tRNA from 1 species
CGGAGUGUAGCGCAGCCCGGUUAGCGCACUAGUCUGGGGGACUAGGGGUCGGAGGUUCGAAUCCUCUCACUCCGACCA